AUUAGGUUCCGUGUCCCCCAGAUCCCUAUUUAAUCAUUUACUGAAUUAGGUACAUACGUACAUACAGACACACACAUUUGUAUCUCAGGUCACAUACACGAUGUAUAAUCCGUGUGUGUAUUAUCCAGAGUGUACACGUAUGAAGUGCACCAGGUGUUGACACGUGUUGUGUCAACUCCCCAGCUUUCUCUUCCCUGGUUGCUCCCCAAAGGCUUCCCUUCAACUUUGAUUUUAGCUGAUGUCUACAGUCUCUUCCCACCAAUAGCACAGCCUCUUUCCAGCCUGAUUUCCCUGCCUUUGUCUUUUCUUCUCCGGAACUCUGUUUUUACCAAUUCUGCUUCUCUGAUUUCACUUUUGUCAACUGCAAGCACUUUGGCCUUCUGGCAUUCUUAUCCAUGCAGGUAGUGUGAGAGAGAUGAACAAAACGGGAAAUAAUCAAAGCGUGUCCAUUGGCUUCCCCUCCCCUCUGAAUACUCGGAUGGCCUUGCUCCUUCUGUCCGAUGUCGUCCUUUGAGGUCAGUGUGGGUGGAGGAUCAGAAAGAUCAUGAAUAACAACAAAUCCUGCUGAUGUGCUUUUCCAUCCAGAGCUGGGUUUGGAUGCUUCCCUCUGCGUGAAGAACCCUCCCAAGCUGGAGGGCGAUGCCGCUGAGGCCUCGAGGGACAGCCAGUGUGAGUGUCAAGUCUUUGGCCACAGGAAAGCCCUCGGUGUCAUGGAAGAGAAGAUUCCCAAGAGAAAACUGCAGUUAGGCCGGUGGAGACUCGCAUGCAAAUUCCAUGUCCCUCUGGCUUAGGGAACUGAGAUACCAAGUACUUCAGAAACUAAGAGAUUCCUCAUGUGAAGAAAACCCCAUCAUAAACCCCAUCACAAAACCCCAUCAUUUUCCACUUGAUGAAAAGAAAUCUAGAACAGCAAAUCAACUUAAAGCCCAAACACAGCACAGGUGGGAUCCUUUGCUGAGAAUCAACAUCACAAUCACAAGCCAUUCUCUGUGAUUUUGACUGCAAAAGACUGCUUUGAUGAGAGAGAUUCUAGCCUUCAGCUCCAGUUGUGAGAAAUCCCUCAGGAGACCAAUGCCUGACUAGAUGACACAGUUUUGACAGACCUUAAGUCUUGCUGCUCUCAAUUCCACCCUGCAGAGAACCUGAGUCAGGAGCACCAUGGAGAAAGACCACAAGUCAAACUGGACAUUCUGGGCCACCAGAUGGGCUGCGCUAGGAGCAGACAGCAUUAACUAUGCGGUGUUCUUGCUGGUAAGGUUUAGCCUGAAUUUGAGCAUGAGGAAGUUACCAGACAACUUGAGAAUGUAGAUCAUUGAACAAGAUGACUGGACUUUCUUCAAACAGUCAGUGUCACCACAUAGAAGAGAGGACACAAGCGAGAAGAGAUAUUUUCGGUUCCAAAGGACUAAAAAGAAUGUGUUUUUUUUUUUUUUUUUUUUUUAGUCCUUUUGAACCCAAAACAUCUCCUCACCCUUAGAUGGCUGUGUCUGCUGGUGCUGACAUUUCCUUGUUUGUAGGGGACAGUCAGAUGUCUUGGCUUAAGGGUCUACAUCCUGAAGUUGUCUGAUCAUUUCCUCCUGACUAAAUUCAGCCUAACCCUCUGGCCAGGACACUCCAUAGUUAACGCUGUGUGUGUCCCAGCUCAGCCCACCCGGAGACCAAGAGGGUCCAAGUUUGCCCAUCACCAUUCUUGUGACAGCUUCAUUGGUUACUUUGCUAUGGAGGGCCUAUCAGAUCUGUUCAUAGCAGGACACAUGAUUUUCUUCUAAAAUUAGCAUUUUGGCAAGGGGUUCUCUGAGAAUGUAUGAAGAUCUUCUUCUCUAAAGUCUUUUUCUAAAAUUUUGCCAUCUGUAAUGAUCCCUGUGGUGCAUCAUAACCGUAUCUGUGUUUGUACAUUGGAAGAAUUCUAUCUAACUUUAUCCUUCCUAUACAAUGUGUAUUUGCUGGCAUUGUGCUGUGGAAAAGAAUAUUUCCUCCCCAUUCUAUAUCAUUA
ensembl:lncRNA